GUACACGCUGUGACUAGCAUAUCAAUAAGCGGAGGAAAAGAAACUAACAAGGAUUCCCCUAGUAACGGCGAGUGAAGCGGGUAGAGCUCAAAUUUGAAAUCUUAAAGGGUUUCCCUUUACGAAUUGUAGUUUAAAGAAGUGUUUUCUGUUGAGGUUUUGGUAAAAGUUCUUUGGAAUAGGACAUCAUAGAGGGUGAGAAUCCCGUAUUUGACCUUUACUUUCAACUUUGUGAUACACUUUCAAAGAGUCGGAUUGUUUGGGAAUGCAGUCCAAAAUGGGUGGUAAAUUUCAUCUAAAGCUAAAUAUUGGCGAGAGACCGAUAGCGAACAAGUACCGUGAGGGAAAGAUGAAAAGAACUUUGAAAAGAGAGUUAAACAGUACGUGAAAUUGUCAAAAGGGAAGCGUUUGACACCAGUGUUGUUUUUCUGAAAAUCAAUUAAAGAACUGUUUAUGCUAAGCUGUUUAGACUUUAUCAGCUAACUGUUUAGUUUUGAGCUUUUCUUUAAUGCACUUUUCAGUUAACAAGUCAACAUCAAUUUCUUUUGCUGUAAAAAAGCUUGAGGAAGGUGGCUUGAGAUUCGUCCUUAAGUGUUUAUAGCCUCUUGCCUAUGCAGUUGGAGAGAUUGAGGUCUGCAGCGUAGAUCCUUCGGGGCUAAAUGCAUUUGUGCUAAGUUAUAACAUUUCAUAGACAACUUGUUGACUAUGAUUUGUCUUGUAGCUUACUCGCUUAUGUUAUUUUACCUACGCUUAGGAUGUUGAAGUCAUCGUAUCGCGC
rnacentral:rRNA from 1 species